rnacentral:rRNA from 1 species
AGGUGACCUCGGAUCAGGUAGGACUACCCGCUGAACUUAAGCAUAUCA